ACCCAGCAUGGAAGCUAUUUACCAAUCCGUUCAGAUAUUUUCAAUACUUGAACACCUAGUGAAACUUGGCUGGUGCUCAUCAGCAGAAUAUCACCUAGUCUCCAGAUAACAGGGGUAUUGCCUCGCUCAGUUUUCAAGGGUUACACUCAGCGGAAAAAGCCUGCAUCGGACGCAUGUGUCCUGAGAGCAUUCUGAGACAGUCAUCCAACCAGUGCUCAGUCAACCCACCACUCCAUGACGCCUGUGCUGAGGGAUGCUGAGGACACUAAGGUGACCAAGACAGACUGUGCCCCACCCUCAUGGAACUG